rnacentral:rRNA from 1 species
AGAGUUUGAUCAUGGCUCAGAUUGAACGCUGGCGGUAGGCUUAACACAUGCAAGUCGUGCGAGAAAGUAUCUUCGGAUAUGAGUAGAGCGGCGGACGGGUGAGUAACGCGUAGGAAUCUACCUAGUAGAAGGGGAUAGCCCGAGGAAACUCGGAUUAAUACCGUAUACCUCCUUCGGGAGAAAGAAGGCCUCUCUUUGAAGCUUUCGCUACUAGAUGAGCCUGCGUAAGAUUAGCUUGUUGGUGAGGUAAAGGCUCACCAAGGCUACGAUCUUUAGCGGGUCUGAGAGGACGAUCCGCCACAUUGGGACUGAGACACGGCCCAGACUCCUACGGGAGGCAGCAGUGGGGAAUAUUGGACAAUGGGCGAAAGCCUGAUCCAGCCAUACCGCGUGUGUGAAGAAGGCCCUAGGGUUGUAAAGCACUUUAAGUUGGGAAGAAAAGUUAUUGGUUAAUACCCAAUGACCGUGACGUUACCAUCAGAAUAAGGACCGGCUAAUUCCGUGCCAGCAGCCGCGGUAAUACGGAAGGUCCAAGCGUUAAUCGGAAUUACUGGGCGUAAAGCGCGCGUAGGUGGUUUAUUAAGUUGGGUGUGAAAUCCCCGGGCUCAACCUGGGAACUGCAUCCAAAACUGAUUCACUAGAGUACGAUAGGGGGAGGUAGAAUUCACAGUGUAGCGGUGGAAUGCGUAGAUAUUGUGAAGAAUACCAAUGGCGAAGGCAGCCUCCUGGAUCUGUACUGACACUGAGGUGCGAAAGCGUGGGUAGCGAACAGGAUUAGAUACCCUGGUAGUCCACGCCGUAAACGAUGUC